rnacentral:rRNA from 1 species
GACGAACGCUGGCGGCGUGCUUAACACAUGCAAGUCGAACGGAAAGGACCUGCUUUUGUGGGGUGCUCGAGUGGCGAAAGGGUGAGUAACACGUGAGUAACCUGCCCUUGACUUUGGGAUAACUUCAGGAAACUGGGGCUAAUACCGGAUCGGAGCUCCUGCUGCAUGGUGGGGGUUGGAAAGUUUCGGCGGUUGGGGAUGGACUCGUGGCUUAUCAGCUUGUUGGUGGGGUAGUGGCUUACCAAGGCUUUGACGGGUAGCCGGCCUGAGAGGGUGACCGGCCACAUUGGGACUGAGAUGCGGCCCAGACUCCUACGGGAGGCGGCGGUGGGGAAGAUUGCACAAUGGGCGGAAGCCAGAUGCAGCGACGCCGCGUGCGGGAUGACGGCCUUCGGGUUGGAAACCGCUUUCGCCUGUGACGAAGCGUGAGUGACGGUAAUGGGUAAAGAAGCACCGGCUAACUACGUG